rnacentral:rRNA from 1 species
AUUGAACGCUGGCGGCAGGCCUAACACAUGCAAGUCGAACGAGUGGCGGACGGGUGAGUAAUGUCUGGGAAACUGCCUGAUGGAGGGGGAUAACUACUGGAAACGGUAGCUAAUACCGCAUACCAUCAGAUGUGCCCAGAUGGGAUUAGCUAGUGGGUGGGGUAACGGCUCACCAAGGCGAAGAUCCCUAGCUGGUCUGAGGGGAUGACCAGCCACCCUGGAACUGAGAACCGGUCCAGACUCCCACGGGAGGCAGAAGUGGGGAAUAUUGCACAAUGGGCGCAAGCCUGAUGCAGCAAGGCCGGUUGUAUGAAGAAGGCCUUCGGGUUUUAAAGUACUUUCAGCGGGGAGGCGUUACCCACAGAAGAAGCGCCGGCUAACUCCGUGCCAGCAGCCGCGGUAAUUC